rnacentral:rRNA from 1 species
AUGGCGACGCUGCCGCCGGAGCAGCGAACGCUGCGCGCGGCGCUGGACCAGCGGGGGCUCGCGGAGCCGCUGCUGUCGUCCGACUGGGGCGACGGCCCCAACGCCUCCGGCCGCCACGAGGCGCGGGCCGACGGGCCCCUGCGGCGGGCGGUGGGGGCGGUGCGCGCGGCGGGCUGGGAGCUGUGGACGUUCUCGCGCAAUGACCCGAGGAAGCCCGUUUACGCGGCCAAGGUGGCCACGGCGCUCGCGCUCAUCACGCUGCUCGUCUUCCUCCGCGAGCCCAGCGACAUUGUCAGCCACUCCGUCUGGGCCAUCCUCACCGUCGUCGUCGUCUUCGAGUUCAGCAUCGGUGCAACCUUGAGCAAAGGCCUUAACAGGGGAUUGGGGACCCUGACGGCAGGCGGGCUUGCUCUAGCAGUUGCUGAAUCAGCAAAGCACAUGGGCGACCAGGACAUAGUGUUUCUCAUCAUCACCACCUUCGCCGUUGGAUUCGCUACAACUUUGAUAAAGGUGCACCCCAAGAUGAAGCUGUACGAGUACGGGCUCCGCGUCUUCCUGCUCACCUUCUGCUACGUGACGGUGUCCGGGUACAACACGGGGGAGUUCGUCGGCGGCACGGCCGUGAGCAGGUUCUUGCUCAUCGUCAUCGGCGGCGCCGUCAGCCUGGCGGUGAACAUAGGCAUAUACCCGAUCUGGGCUGGAGAGGACCUGCACCACCUGGUAGCCAGGAACUUCGCCAGAGUCGCUGAAUCCUUAGAAGGAUGUGUCGAUGGAUAUCUGACAUGCAUGGAGUACCAAAGGGUUCCUUCCAAGAUUCUCACGUACCAAGCUUCCGAUGAUCCUCUGUACAGUGGGUACAGGGCGGCUGUCGAGGCACAGACACAAGAGGAAACACUGCUGGGGUUUGCUAUAUGGGAGCCACCGCACGGGCCAUACAAGAUGAUGAAGUACCCCUGGCAGAGCUACACCAAGGUUGGCGGCGCGCUAAGGCACUGCUCCUUCGCCGUCAUGGCGCUUCACGGGUGCAUACUGUCGGAGAUCCAGUCGGCGCCGGAGAACAGGCAGGUGUUCAGCGCGGAGCUCCACAGGGUGGGCGAUGAGGCGGCCAAGGUGCUGCGCGAGCUCGGGCACCGGGUGAAGACCAUGACCAGGCUGAGCUCGCCCAACAUCCUCUCCGAGGUCCUCCACGCCGCUGAGGAGUUGCAGAAGAAGAUCGACCAGCGGUCCUACCUCCUCGUCAACACGGACCGUUGGGGGGAUGACACCGCCGCCUCCUCCACCACCUGCAGCCGGCACGAGGCAAGAUCCGGAGCCUCCAAGGACAAUGAGGCGCCACCGCCGCCGUCGGAGCACGCCGUCGUCAUCAACAUCCCUCCAAUGCACAAUUCGGAGUCGAACACGUCCCUCGUCCGGACCGCCAGCGUCAACGUCCCUCCACUGCACAAGUCGGAGUCGAACACGACCCUCGCCCGGGCCGCCGGCGCCAGCAUCCCUCCACCGCACAAGUCGGAGUCGAACACGACCCUCGCCCGGACCGCCAGCGUCAGCAUCCCUCCACUGCACAAGUCGGAGUCGACCACGGCCCUCGCCCGGGCCGCGGCCCUCGGCAACAUGCACAAGUCGGAGUCGAACACGUCGCUCGCUCGGUUCGACUCGGCGGCGUCGUGGGCGGCCAUGUCGUUGGCGGAUGGCCUGGCGCUCAAGCCCCAGGGGUCCUGGCACCACCGGAUGCCGCCGUUCCACCCGGGCCAGCCGCCCGACGCCGCGGAGGCGAGGACGUACGAGAGCGCGAGCGCGCUGUCGCUGGGCACCUUCGCGUCGCUCCUCAUCGAGUUCGUGGCGCGGCUCGGGAACCUCGUCAACGCCGUGGAGGAGCUCAGCGACAAGGCCGCCUUCAAGGAUCCCGUGGAGGAGCCAUCCGUGUUAAGCAGGGAGGACACUGGUGUUUUUGGCAGAAUGACCAAGUUUUUCAGGCUGAAGAGAUGA